rnacentral:rRNA from 1 species
GAUUGAACGCUGGCGGCAGGCCUAACACAUGCAAGUCGAGCGGUAGCACAGAGAGCUUGCUCUCGGGUGACGAGCGGCGGACGGGUGAGUAAUGUCUGGGAAACUGCCUGAUGGAGGGGGAUAACUACUGGAAACGGUAGCUAAUACCGCAUAAUGUCGCAAGACCAAAGUGGGGGACCUUCGGGCCUCAUGCCAUCAGAUGUGCCCAGAUGGGAUUAGCUAGUAGGUGGGGUAACGGCUCACCUAGGCGACGAUCCCUAGCUGGUCUGAGAGGAUGACCAGCCACACUGGAACUGAGACACGGUCCAGACUCCUACGGGAGGCAGCAGUGGGGAAUAUUGCACAAUGGGCGCAAGCCUGAUGCAGCCAUGCCGCGUGUGUGAAGAAGGCCUUCGGGUUGUAAAGCACUUUCAGCGGGGAGGAAGG